AAAGUCGUAACAAGGUCUCCGUUGGUGAACCAGCGGAGGGAUCAUUACCGAGUACUAUAACUCAUAACCCUUUGUGAACCUUUAUACCUGUUGCUUCGGCGGCGCGUCCUCCGGGGCGUGCCCGCCGGUAUCAUCAGAAUCUCUGUUUGAACCCGACGAUACAUCUGAGUGUUCUAAGCGAACUGUUAAAACUUUCAACAACGGAUCUCUUGGCUCCA
rnacentral:misc_RNA from 1 species